GACCCUCACCCCACUGGCCGACUGCUGCGCCCCCUCUUGCGGACACUCCUGGAUCCCCCUAACCUCAGGGCCCUCCUCCCAGUACCUAACCUCCAACUGGGGACCCCUCCUCGGGAGCACGGGUCGUGCACCCUCUGGGUGUCUGGGUGUCCUCUCCCCGGGACCCCAGCCCUUCCACUCUCGGAUCCCACCUCCUUUACAGCUGAACGUGGCCAGUUGAAGUCCCAACUACCUACCCAGACCAUUUCCCCGCCCCCCCCCCCCGACUCGGGCUCUGGCUGGGCAGGGGGUUGGGAGGAGAGCUGCGGGACAGGAGGAGCAGCGAGGGGCAGGAACUACAAGGCUCGAGUGGGCACCUGGGCCUCGGACAACAGGCCUCUUAGGGCUGUGCUUGACCGGGUGGAGGUGGCCUGGCUCGCGGCUCCAGAGAGGGGGAGGGGGCGUCCCCUUCCCGGGCGUGGCCUUCGCAGACCAGCGGGCCGAACUGCCUGGGGCGAGGCCAUGGAGACCCGGACUGGCGCCGGCGCCGGCUCGAAGGAGACGCCUCUGGGCAGGAGGAGGCAUUUUUCCCUCCCGGGGGUCCCUGAGGCGGCCCCUGGGGAGAGGGAGGCGGUAGACUGAGAACUCCGUCCCCUAAGUCACCUGGAACUGCUCUCCACACACCUCCAGUGCAGAGAUCCAGCUUUGUGGGGGGAGUGGGCCCCGUGCACAAAUCUCCUUGCUCUCUCCCAUUAUACAGACCGAGGAGACCGAGGCUCGAAGGGAGCCUAAGGCCGACGAGGGAGGCCGGGGGGUGGGGGGCUCGGAAACAAAGAACUUUGGGGGGAUUGAGACAGGUGCGAGGGUAAGGGGGAGUAAUCGUCGUCCUCCAGUCCCUCUCCCUUAGCUGAGUCUAUGGCUCUCGGAGUAGAAGCCCAGAGGGAUCCCAGGUGGGUCCGGGACAGGGGAGAGGGCGGGGGUCCGGGCCACCCCCGGGAGUGGGGGGAGGGGCGGCGGGAUUGACAGUCGGUAAUUGGGUAACUGGAGGCGGCUUCUCCGGCCGGGCGGCCCCGCCACCGCGACGCCGGGCCCCUGACGUCACCCGAUUCGCCAGGAAAUGAACUUUUUAAUAAUCCGAGGAGGGAGGAAAGCCCUCGGUCCCCUCGGCUCGGGGGGCUCCCGGCCAGGCCCAGCUCCGCGGGCGCGCCCCAGUCGCCCUCUCCCAGGCCAACUCUGGGCAGCGCCGGGGGGUGCGGGCACGGGCCAGGGGCCUCCUCCUGCCUCUCCGUCCGUCUGUCCGUUCAUCGGUCCCAGGCCCUGGCGCAGGUAAAGACGCGGGGCCGGAGGCGCGGAGCCCCAUCUGGCUGGGAACCAGCGCGUCCCGGGCGCUUAGGGACCCUCCUGCCCCGGCGGCCCGCUGCGCCUCCCUCUCCGCUCCACUCCGGGACGUGCGGAGCCCGCCCGGGCUUCUCGGAACUCCGCUCCGCAUGAGAGGAGGCCGGCGCCAGCCGGGUAAAGAGCGCCGGGGCCGGGGAGUGGGAGCGCGAGGCCGCGGGAGCCGGGCCUCCGCGGCAGGGCCGGGCAGGUGACUGGCCUCAGUGCCUUCCGGUUCGCGUUUCCCGCAACGCGCGCGGUCCGGCCCGGACUCGCUGCCUCUCUGUUAGUCUGUCUCUCCUCCCUGCCUUUAGCUUACGACUCUUCAUCAACGCGUAAAAUGCGAUCGUCGGAGCCUUGAGCCUGUUUUGCGUCCCUGGAGCCUAGCGGGAGCUUAUCAAAGACACCGCGGCCUCGGGGACAAUCCCAGGUGUCGGGCAAGGCUGCCCCGUCAGCCUGGACCCCGGGACCCAGCGCAGGAGGCAGCCAGCCGUUUGCCGGCCCCGGGGCCGUAACGCCGGAGCCGAGCGGAAGCUUUCCGUGGGGGCUGCGAUCAGCGCCUUGGCUCUCCAGGGACGUGGCCACUCCGGGCCCUCGGGAAAACAGGGUUGUUGCUUAUGCGGGUGCUGCCUUUUGAUCGCACUGAGAAGCUGUCACUUCUUUCCUUACACAAGAGUAAGACUUCAGGAAGGACUGGGGAAGGGCAGCAGAGAAACUGAAUUUUCUAACUGCCUUUUUCAAGUGGCCUGAGACCCCUCGAGAAACCAUGGGUCAUCCGUUCAGCUCAGUCUGCUUUCUCCCGGGAGCUGGCAGCCCAAGGAUCAGAGGCCCGGUUCUACAGGGCGUCACCGGCCUGGGCCGUGGCUCUCAGCUGCCCGGUGUUCCCCAUGCUACAUGGCCCUCCCCUCCGUGCCCUUUGUUUAAACUUCCGUCAUCCAAGGUAGCCCCUCUGGGACCAUAAGUUUGCCCUCUCUUUGUAACCUAAUUCUUCCCACUUUUUCCUACGGGCAUCUAAUUGGCCGGCAGUGGAGGGGAGAGUCAAAGAAACCAGUUUGCUUAGGGGCUGCUUUCCAUAGGGAUAUUUGUCAACCCAGCGACCUCCCAGCCCCACGCUGGCAAUGUGCCUUGAGGGGAACUGAGGAGGAAGUGGGGGCUGCUUUAGCCAGAGGGGUUCAGAAAUCCCCAUAGGGCAAGGCCUCAGAGCUGCUCAGGCCUGCAGCCAUUCCUCCAAAGGGGUUCUGCAAUGGAGGGACCAGGGCUCCAACAGCCCCUUCUGCUCGUUGGGGUUCACGUCCAGCCCCCCAAAUGUGAAGGCCCCUCUCCCCUGGCCACCAUGUUGGCUUUCCCACCCCUUACGUAUUUUGGGCCUUUUUGAAUCGUAAAACCCGGGGCCCAUAGUCCUAGAAGUCUUGGUGCCCUGGGUUGAGGCUCCUGGGAGAUCCUGUGUCUCCUUAUCAGGUUCUGACCACGCACCUCCAAGCCGGACAGCCUCCCGCAUGGGCCCUGCUGAGACCUGCAGCAAUCGGGCGACGUUUCUACCCUGCUUCAGGAACAGCCGCGGUUUACUCAGAGUGCCUGGCGGCCCAGCGGCCCCGGCAGCAUGACAACUGGUAAAUCCGUUUCGUUAGACGCAAUUUGUUUGCAAUUUGUCAACCCGGCUGGGAAACGCUCUCCAGACGCCUGGGCAGCCGCGCUGGCCCUACCUGCUUCUCGAAUCCUGCCUACUCAUAAACGAAUCCCAUCGCUAGGUGCCUGUGUAGACCCGGAGCUCACCGCCAGAUGUUCCCUAUCCCCGGGAGACGUAGCUUUUUCCAAAACAACGAAUUUCCUUCCGUGUUUUCCGGGAAAGGAGCGGCCGCCACUCCCGGGGGCCCUGAACGCCGGAUCUUUCCCCUCGCGGUUGGGGCAACUUGGAGUUCAAGCCUGGCCGCCGCCGAAGGAUUCUAAAUGCCCGGCGUCCAGACAGACCCAGACCGCCGUCUACGCCUCCCGGCGGCAGAUCCCGGAGCCCGCGGCGGCCCCAUUCUUAUUGAAAUCCCACUAAACAGAUUCCGACUCUGGCUUGGGGCUGGGGGUAGACUUCCAGACCCGGCGCUCUCCCCCACCCGCACCCCAGCCAUACAGGAUAAAGGGCCGCGGGGCGCGGCGCGCGGGGGCGCACGCAGGAGCGAGCCGGGUUAAGCCGCGCAAAGCCGGCGCACGGGACCAGUCGGCAGGUGCAGCCCCGGCUCCGCUGCCCGGCUUGGGCGCCUCCACCGCCGUGGCCCAGAGAUUAUCGGAGCCCUUUCAGAGCGCGCACAACAAAUGCGCCCGCCAUCGAAUGCAUCAUUUACCACCGCAGAUCCGCGCGCUGAUGGGCAGGCAGAUAGCCGUCCGCGGGGGGCACGCUGGGCGCCCUGUGCCCGCGCCGCCUGCCUGCCUGCCUGCCUGCCUGCCGGGGGCACCCGCGUGUGCGCCCCCGGGUGUGCCCAGCAUGUUUGGAUGGACAUUCGCGCGUGCCAGUGGAUGGGCACUAACAAGAAAGGGUAUUGGUGUGCAUGCAGGCAUGUCCAAGAAGUGGACUACAAGAAAGUGCAGAUGUGCAAGCCCCACACACAUGCGUGGUGGGCGCGUGUGCCCUGAGUGCCUGGGGAUGGCCCAGCCAAGAUUGUUUGAGGGUGCGCAGAGAAAGGGGUGUUGCACGUGAGUGUGUAGGCAUGCAUGUUACUCAGGGUGGGUAGACACGUGUGUGAAAGAGUGGGUAUGCGAAUCCAUGUGUACAGGAGUGGUGACGGAGCGUAUUGUGAGUGCCUCGAUGUAUCUGUCCUCGAGGAGGCUGUUUAGGAGUGCACACAGGUGGUGGUGUCAUCUGCCACCAGGACGCGUGUCUAUUUGGACAUGCGUGUGUUACUCUCCUGAGUGUUGUGUGCCUGCGGGUGUUGCACCCUACUCAGCGCUCUGGGUUCAUAACGGGCCUGUCAGCCCAUGCAUGCACACGUACCUGUGACUGCCAGCACGGAGGGAGUGCGCGAGGCGCCAGUGCUUCCCCCCGCCCCGUGUGCGCGGAUCUGCGUGAGGGCCAUUGUGCUGCUGUGCAUCUAUCUGCCUGGGUGUGCCCGGGUGUGUGCCGGAGGGUCCAGGAGGAAGGGCAGUCGUUGGGGCCUGUGGCUGCGCCUGCCAGUGGAGGCUCAGGACGCCCGAGCUGGGGAGCUGGGACCCCUCUCCAGCUCGGGGAAGAGCCAGCCGGCAGGGAGAGAAAGGGGUGUGCGGGUGUGAUAGACGCCACAGUAGAAGGAAUGGAUGUGCUAGUGACCCAGAACGGGGUGUGCGGGUGUGUAAGGGAGCGAGGUCUUCGGAGGAGUUCGGGAGCGCUCAGGGGUCCCGACCCGCCUCAGCAGGCACGCCCUGCCAGAGGCCCCAGAGCCUCCCCGCGCCGGACCUGAGGAAAGAGAGACCCGAGCCCCGCCGCCCGAGGUCCCCGCGCCGUGAAUGACACGCGCCGCCGACAAAGGCUGUAUUUUUCCAGGCUCGAGCCCCGCCCGCGCGCGCGCGAUGGUCCCCAUGGCGACGCAGAUAGCGCCGCAGCCAUUUUCCCUAUCUCCCCGGAGUCUAUUAUACGGCGGGAUUAGCUCAUCUCCAGGCAGGUCAAACCCAAAGUCACAGAACCUGCGGCGCGGGCCCCGCCCCCCAUCCCGGCCGCCCCUCCCCCGCCGGGGGUCCGGUCCCGGCCCCGCGACCCCCGUGUGGCCGCCCUUGAGCAGUCGCAGAGCGCCACCUGGCGGCCGCCGGUGUCCCGCGUGGGGUCCCCGGGAGCCGGCAGCCUGAACCCGAGUCACCAGGCAGAAGAGCUAGGGUAGGGGUCCUUUCCUCCCGGAGGUGGACUCUCCAGAAGCAGGGGCUUUGUUUUGUCACUGCCGUGUCACCAGGGCUGGGCUGACACACACGAGAUGCUCCAUAAGUGUUUCUUGAAAAGAUGGGUGGCGGGAAAUUAUAGACCUAGCAAACUGUCAAAGGUCACGCAGCUUAGUUGGCACCAAGAAAUCAUUUUUUAGAAUGUAGCCACUGAAUUUAGGGUAAAAGCCAAACUCCUCUGGAACCUGUGUGAUAGCUUUUGCUGAUCACUCAGACCUAUUUCCCCCUUUUCUUGAUCCAGUCACAGUGGCCGUCCUUCUGUUCUUUGAACAAGCCAGAAUAUUCCCACCCCAGGGCCUUUGUGUCUGCUGUUCCCUCCACCCAGAGUGUAUACUGCCUCUGCUCAAAUGUCACCCCUCAGAGAGCAAAACUGAGCCUUCACACUUUUCUUUUAGAGUACGUACUUCGCACAACGUAAACUAGUCUCUGGGCACGUUGCCGGCUCUCCUGCCUCACUGGAAUGCUAGGCUCCCUGGGGAAAGGGAGUCUGUCUUGUUCCCCAGCAAUAGCCCAGGGGCUGGGAUCUCCUCUGACAACUGGUCGCCAUCAGGCAUAACUUUGGGAAUGAGUGAAUGGGGAGCAGAGGAGGCCAGAGCAAGUGGGCCAGACUGUGCCCUGCUUUCAUGAUCAUAUCGUUAGACCAUCCCCCCUACCCUCCCCUGUGGUUUGUUCACCCUGGCCGCAGGAUGCCUGGCUCUCCCAACCUGCCCCCUCUGGCAAGUCCAGAGAGGCCUGGGACUUAAGAGAAAGAGCACCACGGAGGCCUGUCUGCAAGGCGCGCCUGCCUUGCUCGUGGGGGCAAAGAACACUUCUUACCCUGUGUUCUCAGGCAGCCCUGGCCUGUCUGGGAAGGCCUGGGCUGCCGGGUGAGACUUCACUCAUAAUACAAGAUAAUUAUACCCAAGUUGUCACUAGGCGGUGAUGAUUAAUUGCUAUGUGUGGGACGUGGACAGUGAAGUAACUAGAAAUAGAGAUGGCCACAGCCCGACUGGGCUUCCAGGUGGGAGUACAGCCAGCGCAUCUCCAGGCCAAGCUUCACCCUGCUCAGGUGGGCUUAAGACAAACCCUGUGAGAGGCUUUGCCCAGGGACUCGGAAAAUUAGCUCCCUGUUCUUCCCAGGAGAAGAGCUUGGGUUAAUGCAGGCUCUUGGGCCAGGACUCCCCCCAACAGACACACUCACAUCCCUUCUGGCUGGGUGGCCUUAGGCAAGUCACUUUCCUACUCUGAGCCUUAGGUCUGCUUCUGCAAACCUCCCUCCAGGGUUAUGAGAAUUACUCAUAAGCAUGUAUUUAAAACGAGUUUUGUGAUCCAGGCUUUGAAAAUUGGCAAUCCAAGUCUCAGGAACCCAUGCGUUAAUUGUCGCCAACAUUUCAAAGUGGGAGAUUUCACAUAAAGAACUUCAUUUCCAGCUUCUCUUGAAAAUUUGGAAGAAUGGAUACCCUGGGCCCACAUUCUUGCAUAGUAAUGUAAGGCUGGAGUUCCGUAUCACCAGCCCCCUGUGCAAUUGGGUCUUCACCCACCCACUUCAAGCCCACGGUCAGGGAUGUGUCCCCUCAUAGAAAUACCAUGUGCCAUGGCUGUGUUGGUUUCGGCCUUCCUUCUCUGUAUCCUUUGGUAGAAUUUCCAAUAUCUUGCUCCUUCCAGGUAUACUGUAAACCACUUAAUAAUAAAUUAAUAAAUCCAGUCAACACUUUAU